rnacentral:rRNA from 1 species
AACGAACGCUGGCGGCAGGCCUAACACAUGCAAGUCGAACGCCCUAGCAAUAGGGAGUGGCAGACGGGUGAGUAACGCGUGGGAACCUUCCCAGUGGUACGGAAUAACUCAGGGAAACUUGAGCUAAUACCGUAUACGCCCGAAAGGGGAAAGAUUUAUCGCCAUUGGAUGGGCCCGCGUCGGAUUAGCUAGUUGGUGGGGUAACGGCCCACCAAGGCUACGAUCCGUAGCUGGUCUGAGAGGAUGAUCAGCCACACUGGGACUGAGACACGGCCCAGACUCCUACGGGAGGCAGCAGUGGGGAAUAUUGGACAAUGGGCGCAAGCCUGAUCCAGCCAUGCCGCGUGAGCGACGAAGGCCUUAGGGUUGUAAAGCUCUUUCGGCGGGGAAGAUAAUGACGGUACCCGCAGAAGGAGCCCCGGCUAACUCUGUGCCAGCCGCCGCCGUAAAAC